GCCUGGAUAGCUUAGUUGAUAGAGCAUGAGACUCUUGAUCUCAUUGUUGUGGGUUCGAGCCUCACAUUGGGUA
rnacentral:tRNA from 1 species